rnacentral:rRNA from 1 species
AGUGAACGCUGGCGGUAGGCCUAACACAUGCAAGUCGAACGGCAGCACAGGAGAGCUUGCUCUCUGGGUGGCGAGUGGCGGACGGGUGAGGAAUACAUCGGAAUCUACUCUGUCGUGGGGGAUAACGUAGGGAAACUUACGCUAAUACCGCAUACGACCUACGGGUGAAAGCAGGGGAUCUUCGGACCUUGCGCGAUUGAAUGAGCCGAUGUCGGAUUAGCUAGUUGGCGGGGUAAAGGCCCACCAAGGCGACGAUCCGUAGCUGGUCUGAGAGGAUGAUCAGCCACACUGGAGCUGAGACACGGUCCCGACUCCUACGGGAGGCAGCAGUGGGGAAUAUUGGACAAGGGGCGCAAGCCUGAUCCAGCCAUACCGCGUGGGUGAAGAAGGCCUUCGGGUUGUAAAGCCCUUUUGUUGGGAAAGAAAUCCAGCUGGCUAAUACCCGGUUGGGAUGACGGUACCCAAAGAAUAAGCACCGGCUAACUUCGUGCCAGCCGCCGCAGUAA